GGGGGCGUAGCUCAGCUGGGAGAGCACCUGCUUUGCAAGCAGGAGGUCAUCGGUUCGAACCCGUUCGCCUCCACCA
rnacentral:tRNA from 1 species